AUCAAGUUAAGGCAUGAAAAUCUCGCUUUUUUUUAAGGAGAUUCAAGCCUUCUGCGGUUGGCAAAGCUUUUAAACCGAUGCAGCAGAACACAGACUUGUCCCCUCUAGGAUACAACGGCUUGACGCUCGUCGUGUGGCUUCACCAACUCUGCACAAGUGGAUGAACCCAAAGCUUCACCAAAAGAAACACAUUUCUUUAGCCUUCUCUCUCUCUCAAAUAGAAUAUAGAUUAGUGAUAUUGUAGUUUUCGUCGUU
rnacentral:lncRNA from 1 species